rnacentral:rRNA from 1 species
CUAUGCGCCUUGCCAGCCCGCUCAGGUGUGCCAGCCGCCGCGGUAAUACGGAGGAUGCGAGCGUUAUCCGGAUUUAUGGGUUUAAAGGGUGCGUAGGCGGAGUGUCAAGUCAGCGGUAAAAUUUCGGGGCUCAACCCCGUCGUGCCGUUGAAACUGACGCCCUUGAGUGAGUGAGAAGUAAGCGGAAUGCGUGGUGUAGCGGUGAAAUGCAUAGAUAUCACGCAGAACGCCGAUUGCGAAGGCAGCUUACCGGCGCUCAACUGACGCUGAGGCACGAAAGUGCGGGUAUCGAACAGG